rnacentral:rRNA from 1 species
CUGGCGGCGUGCUUAACACAUGCAAGUCGAACGAGAAGAGAUGAGAAGCUUGCUUCUUAUUGAUUCGAGUGGCAAACGGGUGAGUAACGCGUAAGCAACCUGCCCUUCAGAUGGGGACAACAGCUGGAAACGGCUGCUAAUACCGAAUACGUUCUUUUGUCGCAUGGCAGAGGGAAGAAAGGGAGGCUCUUCGGAGCUUUCGCUGAAGGAGGGGCUUGCGUCUGAUUAGCUAGUUGGAGGGGUAACGGCCCACCAAGGCGACGAUCAGUAGCCGGUCUGAGAGGAUGAACGGCCACAUUGGGACUGAGACACGGCCCAGACUCCUACGGGAGGCAGCAGUGGGGAAUCUUCCGCAAUGGACGAAAGUCUGACGGAGCAACGCCGCGUGAACGAUGACGGCCUUCGGGUUGUAAAGUUCUGUUAUACGGGACGAAUGGCGUAGCGGUCAAUACCCGUUACGAGUGACGGUACCGUAAGAGAAAGCCACGGCUAACUACGUG